GGAACUCACUCUGUAGACCAGGCUGGCCUCAAACUCAGAAAUCUGCCUGCCUCUGCCUCCCCAGUGCUGGGAUUAAAGGUGUGCGCCACCACGCCCGGCAAGCAUAUACAUUUUUAAUGUGAGCAAGAUUAAGAGAAAACUGGAAACUGUAACUUUUACUCUAAGUUUGAAUAUUUAAAGUCAUAUGGUUUCCUUUUCAACUGCACAGGUUUUUAGAACUGUUGGUUGUAUAUAAUGAUAUAUAAUCUUGAUAGCAGUAACAUUAGCUUUCUGAUUUGUACUGAGAGUUUUAGUUAAGGACCAUUUUAGUCUUUAGUGGAGAUAAAUACUGGCGUAAUAAUUCUUGUGAGCUAAACACUAUCAAAAGCACAUUAAGUCUGGUAAUUCUAAGGAUAGCACUUCAGAAGGUAAAAACUAUAGAGUUUUAAAGUUGAGUCACAUUUAAGUGGGGUGAUGGUUUAAAACCCAAGAGUAGUCUGAUCUUCGGAGUGUUUGUCCAGCAGCACAUACUGCUUCUCUAAAUACAGAAUGCACACCAGCAACUUAAUACCCAUUACUUGGAAUUGCUAAGGGAAGUUAUUCAGGAUGCUGAGGUAGAGUAUCAUGAAAUUUAAGGCCAAUCUUAGCUACAAGUGAAGCCUUGUCUCCAAGGAAAAUAAAUCACCGUUUUUAAUAUCCUAUCUGAUAAAGCUUGUCAGAAACCUUUAAUCCUACCACUUGGGAGUCAGAGGCAGGCGGAUCUCUAAGUUUGCAGACAGCCUGGUCUACAAAGAGUUCCAGGACAGCCUGGGUUACACAGAGGAACCCUAUCUCAAACAAACAGCAAAUGAGAAACUUCACAGUAAAGCUUUCUAGUGACUUCCAUCUUUCAUAGCUCUGCUAAAAAUUGUUUGGUUUGUUAACAAAGAAGAAAAUGAUAGCAGAAGAAUAAUGCUUGCUAUUCUGUUAUUCCUGUCUCUAAAAGUUUUAAGAGUGUGUAUGUUAUGCGUAUGUGUGAGGCCAGAGGUUAUUCUUGUAUGUUAUUCUUCAGGUGUUGUCCACUUUGUUUUUGGGGACAGGCUUUCUCAUUAAGUUAGUUCCCCAGUAGAUUUUAACAUUUUAUUAGUCAUCAGGAAAAUUAGACAUUAAAACCCUGUUCCAAUUAGGAUGCUGUUAAAAAAAAUGCAGCAUUCCAGCAACAAUUGGGGGAUGGGGGGAGGAAGGCUCAGAUACUGUUGGUAGGAAUGUGAAUUAAUGUGGUCAUUAUGCAGAAUGGUAUCAAGACUCCUCAAGCUUAAAGAUCUGCCAAAUGAUACUGAAGUCCUCCUGUAAGGAUAUGUCUACGCAAAUAAAGCUGCAUAUCAAGGAAAUACCUGCACUCAUGUUUGUUGUGGUACUGUUGACAGUAGCUAAGAUAUACAAUCUACUUGUCUAUGAAGGGAUACAUGCAUAGGAAAAAUAUGAUACAUAAACACAAGGAAUAUUACUCAAGCACAGAGAAUUAGCUAGGUAUGUUAACACACACUUGGAGCACUCAGUUGCUAGAUAGAGGAAGAAGUUCAUGUCUGGCCUGAGCUAUACAGCAUGAGCAUGUCUUUAAAAGAAAAUAGAGGGGCUAGAAAUGACUCGGUGAUUAAGAUGUCUUGCUGCUGUUUUAGAAAAUUUGAGUUUGGUUUCUAACACUUAUAAUCAGGCAGCUUACCUACCUGUAACCAGCUCCCCGAAAUCUAAACAUUU
rnacentral:lncRNA from 1 species